CGUCUAUAUACGUAUAGCAUAUCAAUAAGCGGAGGAAAAGAAACUAACUAGGAUUCCCUCAGUAACGGCGAGUGAAGCGGGAAGAGCUCAAAUUUGAAAUCUUCAAGGUUCUACCUUGACGAAUUGUAGUUUAAAGAAGUGUUUUCUGUUGGAGUUUUGGUAAAAGUUCUUUGGAAUAGGACAUCAUAGAGGGUGAGAAUCCCGUAUUUGACCAUUAUUUCCAACUUUGUGAUACACUUUCAAAGAGUCGGAUUGUUUGGGAAUGCAGUCCAAAAUGGGUGGUAAAUUUCAUCUAAAGCUAAAUAUUGGCGAGAGACCGAUAGCGAACAAGUACCGUGAGGGAAAGAUGAAAAGAACUUUGAAAAGGGAGUUAAACAGUACGUGAAAUUGUCAAAAGGGAAGCGUUUGACACCAGUGUUGUUUUCUCGAAAAUCAAUUAAAAAUGGAUUGGAUUUUGUGUUGUAUUGACUUUAUCAGCUUUCUGCACUCUUUUCCUUAUCUUUUUUAAUGCACUUUUCGUUUAACAAGUCAACAUCAAUUUCUUUUGUUGUAAAAGAGUCAUUGGAAGGUGGCUUUCUUUUCGGAGAAAGUGUUUAUAGCCUUUGACUUCUGCAAUCGGAGAGAUUGAGGUCUGCAGCGUAGAUCCUUCGGGGUUAGAUACAUUUGUGCUAAGUUAUAGCCUUUCAUAGACAACUUGUUGACUAUGAUCAGUCAUGUAGCUUACUCGCUUAUGCUAUUUUACCUACGCUUAGGAUGUUGACGAUCAGCUGAGCGCG
rnacentral:rRNA from 1 species